CAGUCGCCGCGGGAAUACGGAGGGGGCUAGCGUUGUUCGGAAUUACUGGGCGUAAAGCGCACGUAGGCGGCUUGGUAAGUUAGAGGUGAAAGCCCGGAGCUCAACUCCGGAAUUGCCUUUAAGACUGCCGAGCUAGUAGGUGAGAGAGGUAAGUGGAAUUCCGAGUGUAGAGGUGAAAUUCGUAGAUAUUCGGAAGAACACCAGUGGCGAAGGCGGCUUACUGGCUCAUUCUAGACGCUGAGGUGCGAAAGCGUGGGGAGCAAACAGGAUUAGAUACCCGCGUAGUCCCUGUCUCUUAUAC
rnacentral:rRNA from 1 species